UAAAUUCAAUAUAAUUUUAUUAGUCCAUAAAAAUUCUUUCCAUGUUUUGUCGUUUGAAUUCCUCAAGCUCGUCGAAAAGCACGGUGGUCAUGUAUCUUUCAACUUCAGCGGCAUUGUUGCCUCCAUUUUAUUGAGACUUAACUCUCCAUUGGCUAGGUACCCUCUCGGAAUAUAAAACAGAUCUAUAUUUGUCGAGAGGCUAGCAACAUUCCAACGAAUACUGUACUGUAUUACUGUACUGUGUACUGCCUGGCGUACACCCGCUUAU
rnacentral:lncRNA from 1 species